rnacentral:rRNA from 1 species
AGGAUGAACGCUGGCGGCGUGCCUAAUACAUGCAAGUCGAACGGAUUAUGUAAUUUAUUACAUAGUUAGUGGCGAACGGGUGAGUAACGCGUUGGUGACCUGCCCCAAAGCGGGGGAUAACAGCUCGAAAGGGUUGCUAAUACCCCAUGUGGUUGUUGGAUUUUGAAACCAACAACUAAAGGAGUAAUCCACUUUGGGAGGGGCCUGCGUCCCAUCAGCUAGUUGGUAGGGUAACGGCCUACCAAGGCAAAGACGGGUAGGGGACCUGAGAGGGUGGCCCCCCACAAUGGAACUGAAACACGGUCCAUACACCUACGGGUGGCAGCAGUAGGGAAUAUUGCACCAUGGGCGAAAGCCUGAUGCAGCAACGCCGCGUGAGUGAUGAAGGCCUUCGGGUCGUAAAACUCUUUUCAAGGGGAAGAGGAAGGACGGUACCCUUGGAAUGGAAGGACGGUACCCUUGGAAUAAGCAUCGGCUAACUACGUGCCAGCAGCCGCGGUAACACGUAGGAUGCGAGCGUUAUCCGGAUUUACUGGGCGUAAAGCGCGUGUAGGCGGUUGAGAAAGUUGGAUGUGAAAGCUCCCGGCUUAACUGGGAGAGGUCGUUCAAAACUUCUUGACUUGAGUUUGGUAGAGGAAAAUAGAAUUCCGGGUGUAGUGGUGAAAUGCGUAGAUAUCCGGAGGAACACCAGUGGCGAAAGCGAUUUUCUGGACCAAUACUGACGCUCAGACGCGAAAGCUAGGGUAGCAAACGGGAUUAGAGACCCCGGUAGUCCUAGCUGUAAACGAUGUAGACUUGGCGUUGGAGGAGUAAAAUC